UUCCCAUCCACCAGGCUGACUCCACCCACACCCUCUUUAGAAGACCCUCUCUCCUCAAUCUGCUGCCAGGCUGGGAAGUUCUGGUUAUGACUAUUGACGACAUAAGCUGGCUUGAAAAUCCUUGGAAGAUGAGUGGCGGACUCCCAUGGGG